UGUUUCGAGAGGUGGAAUUUUUUUAUGGACUCACAGAUAUGAAAGAGUAUUACGUGAAGAUAUAAAUAAUAGCAUGUAAAUAUUUGGUUGCCAAACCUCUUUGAAAUAGUGAAAAAAAAAUAUAGUUAAACAUUGCCUAUGAGAUUCGAACCCACAUUUCUUACAAACAAGUUAGGCUUAAUAUUGUUAGGCCACAGAUAUCUCAAGAAAAUCUGUCUCCGUUUUAGGAACUUCCUUCUUACCAGUGAAAAUUGUAUGUUACUGAUGCCAAACGAAUUUGCAGACACACAGCUAUAAUAUAAAGAGCUGCCAAUCAGCUGCAUUCUGGCAGCCAUUCAAAAUCAUCUCAGGAAAACGGGGAUCGUAUUUGCAAGUAAACGAAUCUCAGUUGCAAACUUCUUUCGAAAAUAUAAUUGAAGAUGCGAAGCAGGUUACACAAAGAAUGACUAUCUAUCGACUUUUUCUUUCAACUUUUCAAGAAAUAUAGCAGACCUAAUGUAGUAGCAAACAGCAAUAAACAGAAAAAUAACUAUUCUAUUGAACUUCUCUGCCAGACAUGUCGAUGAGGAGUGGAAGCAGCAGAAGUUAUACGAUAAUAAACAAUUCAAUAUGAGUCACUGUCGAAAUAGAAGAUCAUACACUUUUUCCUAUGGGACUUAGAAUUCAAAUAACUCCAGGAAUAAACUACAAACAGACAAUAAACACCGACUUUAUGAUGCUAAUGUUUAAUUUCCUGCUUACCGAUACUACAAGCCAUUCUAGAUUACAGUCUCUCUUUGUGAAACAUUCUUCACAUGAGAGCCAAAUUUAUGAUAUUGGCCUAUAUCCAUUUUCUAGACUGCUAUUUUGACUCAAUGAGAUUGUAUCUUUCUGUAUAUAUUGUUAUAUUCGUCGAAAUUAUAUUUAAAAAUCUAUGUCUGUAGAUUUAUUAAUAUACAUUUCCUGUGCUGAACCAUGUGGAUUUUGCGUUAAAUGAACUGUUAUAUUAUGUGUCGUACAGAGAGUUCGAAUAGCAUUUGCAAAUUUAAUCGCAAUGAAUAGAAAAUACAUAAUUACUUUAAUGUUCUAAAGGAACAUCUUAUGCAACUUUUAUUUAUCACAUUUAUUCUGGCAAUAUUAUUAAGAAGCAUUGCCAAUUCAAUUCAGAAAAGAAAAAUUAGGUAUAUUCUUAUACUCAAUUUGUAUAUUACAGUAGUUUAAAUCUAUCAAGAGGGUAUUUAAAGAUAGUUGAAUUGACAAUGCUUUUACCAUUCCCAUCAGCUUUGGCUGCCCUAUCUGUGUUAAGUUAAACUUAACUUUACAACCAGAAUAAUCUAUUUUAGAAAGUUGUCUGUUGGGGACAGGAAAAUGAACUGCAAGGACUGAAAUAUGUU
rnacentral:lncRNA from 1 species